CUCCGUGCCGGCUCAAUCAACAGAAGUGGUUAUGAACUCAAUGAACAAAAACGCUGUUCAUCGCAAUUUGGCUGUUCCGAAACCGAAACCAAUUUUCAGCUGAGACAAGUCGGGGCGAUUAGGUCACAUGACAUUUUUGAGGGACGUCACGUUUCGUAUUUUACCCAGCCUCUUUUUGUGCCCUCUUCGCCGUGCGUGCUAGCAUCGUUCCGUGCGGUACGUGCCAGCAUGAGGGCCAAGUGGCGUAAGAAGCGGAUGCGCAGGUUGAAGCGCAAGCGCAGGAAGAUGCGUGAGAGGUCCAAGUAGGCCAGACCCACGAGUGGUGGAAGACAAGCCCGGCUGCUGGCAGAGGGAGUGUCCGAAGACGUCGCCUUCAGCCUCCUGCCCGGACUGUGCCACCACGACCGGGCUGCUGCAUCGGAUGGCGCCUUGCACUUACAUGACGGACCCAAGCUCUCGAUCUGAGCAAGGCACUCACCCGGACAUUGGAUCAUCAACUGUGCGUCCAUUAAAACCUCAUCUCGGAAAAAAAA